GGCGCGAUGGCGGAGUGGUUAACGCGAGAGACUAGAACCCAUUCCUAGCGAGUGAUUGCUAUCUCUUCCCUUCGGGGGCGCAGGUUCGAAUCCUGCUCGCGUCG